GGAGAGUACAAGAUGAAAGGAAACAGAAAAAGAGUGACUGGAAUAGAGUUUUCUCCUCCAUGUACACAGACUUUUUGCGGCAAGGAAAUAAACUUGUUCUCUGCUGAGUUACAGAUUUGGGUAUACUUAAUACUGACAUAUACUCACCAACCCUCAGUAAAGCCUAUGAAUAUGAUUUCUGUGGAUAUCUGAACUCAACAUAUAUCAGAAACCUGACACAGGAGAAACCCCUGACAACAUCCUGAAUGACCAUAGUUUAUAUCCACAACUCUUCAUCAGUCAGGUAAAUAUCAGUGGAAGAAAUCCAACAUUUGAAUAUACAUAGGAAAUCCUUUACCAAAAAAAAAAAAAAAUGGUUUCUCAUUAAAUAUCUGAUAAUUGAAUUGUAAAUGUAUGAAAGUUUUCAACAAGUCAUCAAACUUUAAUCUCUCUCAGAAUGUGUUACAAGGAAAAUCUAUCAAUUUGAGAAAGGUAAGUAAUGGUGUUUACUUAGAUGUUGUUCUAUGAGACUGUUAUUUCAUAUCUAUUAUUAAGACAGUUACUGAAACAUAACAGUGUUGAUACAACAUUCACUAGAAUAAUAAGCUUUAAAAGAAUAAGAAAUAAAUUGCAUAAACUGAACAGCAUUGAAUGUAUGUGAUUAUUUUCUGAGUUCUCUAAUUUUUGUGUGGGUUUGAAUACAUGCAUACCACUUACCAGGUGUUAGUUAAUAUGUAUACUGGAACUCUACAUCAUUGUAGUAUAAUUAUAUACCUUGCUCAUUAACUAUUCUGACAUCAGCUACGUUUUGCCACAUAGAGAUUAAUAACAAAUAAACCUUUUACAGAAAGUAUCUGAAAAGUGAGAAUCCCAUACUACAUGUACAUAUAGGAAAGGCCAUUGUUACUAACAGUCUCUUCAAAGAAGCCAAACAACGUUUUCUGUGUACUUGUUAUUAUCUCGGGGUCACCAAAACAUUUAAGCACAUUUAACCAUACACACACACACACACACACACACACACACACACACACACAUCUUCAUUGUCACUGAUUUCUCAGAAGUGUCAAGUAUACUGAGGAGCCCUUUGUAGGCAUUCUUUACUUAUGAUACUGUGUUUUUUAUUUCAAGCGCUUAAAUUUUAUUAAACUUUCCAUAUUUCUGCUGAAAUAACCUAUCUGAUCUUGGAUGUUGUCUAGCUUUUCUAUUAGAGUCGUUCUGUAUGGCAUUUGGCAUUCUCUGGCUCAGUUAAGCAACUGCUUGAGCCCUUGCUUCCUUCUCCCUGCAGGCACCUAGCUCUCCAGACUGUGGGGGUUUUUUGUCCUAAAAUGUCAGAUGUCUGAUGCUUUCAAGAAAACUUGUUAAUUUAAAUUCUGCCUAGCUGGGUUUUUUUUUUGUUUUGUUUUAUGGAUGGGAGCAGUGCUCUUUCCUGCUCUCUACUUACCUGAGCUAAAACUGAAAGUUGUCACUGGAUUUUGAUAAAUGUUCCAGCAUAAUUUGUUGGGGAAAGGAUCAAAAAUGGUGAGAAAAUAACUGGAUAUUCAUCUGUUUUAAAUGUACCUUGAUGUUUACAUCAUAAUUAAAUAUUUAUUUAAAAAAUGAAACAGACCUAAACAAAAUAGCUAAUGGUACAAAAUUUGUUAGAAAACAGAGAAAAAAGUAACUUCACUUUGAGACCAGAUUUUUAAGAUGUAACAAAAAGUAUGAAACAGCAAAGCAAAAAAGAUGAGUUGGAGUUUAUGAAAAUUUAAAGUGCUUUUCAAGAUUUUAUUAUGAAAAUGGAGAAAAACACAGAUUAGGAGAAAAUGUCUCAAAUAGAUCUGACAAUUAUAUCUGACAAAGGACCUGUAUCCAUGAUAUGUAAAGAAUAUUAAUAAUAAAAAAGAAUUUUUAUAAUGCAAUAAUAAUGCAAACAACCUAGGUAAAAUGGGCAGAACAGGAAGACAGUUCACAAAAGAAGAUAUAUAGAUAACUAAUAAAUACUAGAAAAGAUGUCCAAAGCUUCAGUAAUCAAGAAAGUGCAAAUUAAAAUUGUAAUGCGAUAGCAUUGCAGUUCCUUUUGAUAGUUCCUUAUAAAGUUAACAAUAUUACACCUACAACCAACAAUUUCAGGUCUAGAUAUUUACCCCCAAAGAAACAUAAAAAACUAUACCAAAAAUUUUUUGAUAGUUUUUUUUAAAGAAUUUUAUUAAGAUAUUCAUGGAACUUUUAUGCAUAAUAGCCCCAAAUUAACCAAAAUGUUCAUCAAUAGAUAAAUGUGUGUAAACAGUGAUAUUACCUUACAAUGGAAUAGCACUCAGCAAUACAAAUAACUACUAAUGGAUGUAUCAACAUUGAUAAAUCUCAAUGAGAUUAGACUGGGAAAAGAAGCCAAGCACAAGAACGUAGAACUCUAUGAUCUCAAUUAAUGAAAUUCAAGAGAAGACAUCUAAUCUAGAGUGAUAGGAAGCAGAUCAUUGGUUCCCAAGCGUGGAGGGUGAGGAUUCACUGGGUAGAGGAACAAAGGAAUGUUUUAGUGUGAUGGGAUAUUCUAUAUUUAUGUUAUGAUAGCAUUUACAAAGCUGAAUAAAUGUUCACAACUCAUCAAAAUGUGCAAAAAAUUAAUAUACUUUAUAUUUCAUAAAUUACAUAUCAGUAUAGUUGAUUUGAAAGAUCAUAGUGAACUUAAAAUCCCCAGUAUAUUAUGAGACCCAGUACCAAGUGGCUUGUUGACUUUACUACUUGGGUAUUUAUUCCCCCCUUCCCCUCCCUGUUUGUCUUUGUGACCUUAGGCAAAUCAGUUCUCCUUUAUGUUCUUCACUUUCCUCAUUUGUGAAAGGUGCAUAAUGAUAGUAAUUACCUACAAUCCAUUUUGAAGCAUUUUCUGAGUUAAUCUGUGUCAAUCACAGAUUUACCAAACCAAGGAGUGCUUGAGUGAUACUUCUAACAGUCAACCACACUAGUAAUAUGUUUUUAUAUGCUAUGUUUUGGUGGGGAAAUGCAUAUAAUUUUUCAAAAUAAGUGUGGCAUAGCCUGCUCUUUGCCAUAUUUUUCCAAUGUUUUUAUAGUAUUUGGCUUUGAAUUCCACCACCACCACCACCACACACCCCCUCCCCCUGCCUCCUAGUACUGUUUUUAUUGUAUCCCUUGAUUUUGGUGUAUUAUCUUUUCCUUUUCAUUGUUUCUAAGUAUUUUCUAAUUUCCCUUGUGAUUUCUUUUGUGAUCUGUUGUUUGUUUAAGAGAAUGCUGUUUAAUUUCCACAAAUUUGAAUUUUCCAAUUUUCCUUCUGUUACUGAUUUCUGACUUCGUCCUGCUAUGGUCAUAGAAGAGCCUUUGUAUAAUACCUUUCUUUUUAAAUCUAUUGAGACUUCAUUUUAUCCUAACAUUUGGUCUCUCCUGAAGAAUACCCCAUGUGCACUUGAGACAAAUGUGUAUUUUGUUUAGUAUUGUGUUCUAUAAGUGUUAGAUCUAGUUGGUUUAUUUUGUUCUAUAAAUGUUUGUUAGAUCUGGUUGGUUUAUUUUGUUAUAUAGAUCCUCUAUUUCCUUAUUUAUCUUCUGUCGGGUUGUACUAUCCAUUAUUGACAGUGAGAUAUUGAAAUCUCCCUGUUAUUGUAGAAAUAUAUGUUUCUCCCUCAAUUCUGCCUAUUUUUGCUUCUUAUAUUUUGAUCUGUUAUUAUGUGUGUAAUUGUUUGCAAUUGUUAGAUCUUCUUGCUCUAUUGCACCUUUUAUUAAUGUAUAAUGUAUUUUGUGCCAAACUUUUUUUGAUUUAAAGUCUAUAUUGUCUGAUAUUAUAGGUAUCCAGGCUCUCUUUUGGUUACUGUUUGCAUAGAAUAUCUUUUCUAUCCUUUCACUAUCAACUAAUUUGUGUCUUUGGAUCUAAAGUCUCAGGUAAAUAGCGUAGAGUUAGAUCAAGGUUUUGUUUUGUUUUGUUUUAAUCCAUUCUGCCAGUCUCUCACAAUUGGAGAGUGUAUUCCAUUUACGUUUAAUUACUGAAAAAGAGGAAUUAACUUCUAUUUUACUUCUAUUCAUUUUGCUGUAUGUUGUCUCUAUGGCUUAUUGGGUUUUUUGUCCCUCAUUUUCCACAUUCAUCUUUUUUGUUUUGUAGACUUUUUUUUUAGUGAAACAUUUAAAUUACCUUCUCAUUUCCUAUUGUGCAUAUUCAAGAGCUAUUUCUUUGUGGUUACCAUGGGGAUUACAUUUAACUUCUUAGUGUUAUUGCAUUCUAUAUCAGCUUAACUUCAGUAAUUUACAAAAGCUCUUGCCUCUAUACAGGGAUGGAGGGAUGGAGAUCCCUAACCCCUUUCAGUUAUUGAUGUCACAAAAUUACAUCAUAUGGUGUGUCUCCAAAACCAUUAAUAAGGGUUUUUUUAUGCAUUAGUCUCAAAUCAUGUAGAAAACAAAAAGUAGAGCUAUCAACCAAAAUUAUAAUACUACUUUUUAUACUUGUCUAUAUAUUUAUCUUUACUAGAAGUCUCUAUUCUUUAUAUGACUUUCAGUUACUAUCUGGUCUCAUUUACACCUGAAGGACUUCCUUUAGCAUUUCUUGCAGGGACGUCUAGUUGUUAUAAACUUUUAUUAUUUGGUUUAUCUGGAAAUGCCUUAUUUUCUGCCUCAUUGAAUGAUGAUUUUCACAGAUACAGGAUUCUUGACUGGCAGUUUUCUUUUGUCCUGCAGCAUUUUGAAUAUAUCAACUCCUGGCAUCCAAAGUUUCUGAUGAGAAAUCUGCUUACUUUCUUAUUGGAAUUCCUUGUAUAGGAUGGUUCGCUUCUCUUGCUGCUUUCAAGAUUCUCUCUUUGGCUUUCAAAAGUGUGAUUAUAAUUUGCCUCAGCGUGAGUCUUUGACUUUAUCCUGAUUGGGGUUUGUUGAGCUUUUGGUAUGUUUAUGUUCAUGUUUUUUCAUCAAACUUGGGAAAUUUUAAGUUAUUAUUUCUCUAAUGUUUCUGCCCCUUUCUCUUUCUCUUUUCCUUCUCAGACUCCCACAUUGUGUAUGUUGGUACACUUCAUGGUGUCCCACAGGUCCCUUAGACUCUGGUCACUUUUCUUACAUAUGUUUUCUUUCUGUUUCUCAGACUCUUAUUUUAUUUUAUUUUAUUUUAUUUUAUUUUAUUUUAUUUUAUUUUAUUUUAUUUUNGUUUCCAUACAACACCCAGUGCUCAUCCCAAAAGAUGCCCUCUUCAAUGCCCAUCACCUACCCUCCCCUCCCUCCCACCCCCCAUCAACCCUCAGUUUGUUAUCAGUUUUUAAGAGUCUCCCACCCCCCAUCAACCCUCAGUUUGUUCUCAGUUUUUAAGAGUCUCUUAUGCUUUGGCUCUCUCUCCCACUCUCACCUCUUUUUUUUUCUUUUUUUUUCCUUCCCCUCCCCCAUGGGUUUCUGUUAAGUUUCUCAGGAUCCAUAUAAGAGUGAAAACAUAUGGUAUCUGUCUUUAUCUGUAUGGCUUAUUUCACUUAGCAUCACACUCUCCAGUUCCAUCCAUGUUGCUACAAAGGGCCAUAUUUCAUUCUUUCCCAUUGCCACGUAGUACUCCAUUGUGUAUAUAAACCACCAUUUCUUUAUCCAUUCAUCAGUUGAUGGACAUUUAGGCUUUUUCCACAAUUUGGCUAUUGUUGAGAGUGCUGCUAUAAACAUUGGGGUACAAGUGCCCCUAUGCCUCAGUACUCCUGUAUCCCUUGGGUAAAUUCCUAGCAGUGCUACUGCUGGGUCAUAGGGUAGGUCAGACUCUUAUUUUAAAUCCAUAGAUUCUUCUGCCUACUUAAAUCUGCUUUUGAAUCCUCUGUUGAAUUUUUCAUUUCAGCUACACUUCAGGUCCAAAAUUUCUUUUUGGUUCCUUUUUAUGUUUUCUGUCUCUUUAUUGAUAUUUCCAUUUUGACAUUAUUUUCCUGAUUUUGUGCAUGUUUUCUUUCAGCUCCUAGAGUAUCUUUAAGACAGUUGUUCUAUAUCUUUGUCUAGUAUAGGAGCACCUGGAUGGCUCAGUUGGGUAAGUGUCCGACUUCAGCUCAGGUCAUGAUCUCACAGUUCAUGAGUUCAAGCCCCAUGUCAGGCUCUGUGCUGACAGCUCAGAACCCAGAGCCUUCUUCAGAUUCUGUGUCUCCCUCUCUGCCCCUCCCCCUCUCAUGCUCUCUCUCAAAAAAUGAAUAAACAUUAAAAAAAAAAAGAUACACCCAUACAAUAAAAUAAUAUGCAGUUGAGGAAAAAGAUGAGGUAGUUUUACAUAUUUUUCCCAAAGAGCAUGGCCAUAAAACAAUGUAAGUAUAAAAGCAAGCUGUAAUUGAAUAUUUUUUGCUCAUAUUUUGGGUUUUUUGAAAAAUGUGUUUGUGUUUUCAGGACUGCACUAAAAUCAGUCUAGAAAGCUAAACUCCAUUUAACAGAGUGGGGAGGAGAAGGUGAGGAAGUUGUCAUUUUCCAUCAGUUACUGUUUUGGUUUUGUUUGAAUAGUGCCUCUUUAUAAAUGAAAAAUAAAGUGGUUUAGACUUUCACUUUUGCCUUGGAGAUGCAGAAAGCUGAAAGUGUCACUCCCACACUAAAAGCAAGGAGCUUGCAGGAAAAAAAACAGAACUUGAGCAUUUGUUUAAGAAGGGCACCUGUUACAAAGACACCAUUUAAACCUGAGAGAUUCAGCUUUAUUUUUUAAUUGAAAGGCUGAAGACUGAGAUGGGCUAUGGUAAGAAUGUGAAGCAUUCACAUGGAGUCCCCAUACAUGGGGGUUUACACUGUCUUUCAGAUUUUUCUUUAUAGACUUCACCAGGUGCUCACAGAGAUUACCUGAGAGAUCCUUACUCUACCCAGGCCAUCUUCCCUAACUUCCCUGUGGAACAAAAGCCUAAUUCUUCAAGAAAUAUUGUAACAAAAAUGGUAGCCUUGGGGCUCUGGUGGAAACUGACUGCAGCUGACUAACUAAAAGAUAUAACACCACAACAGAAGAAAAAAAUCUUGGGGUGCCUGGGUGGUUCAGUCAGUGAAGUGGCCAACUAUUGAUUUCUGCCUGGGUCAUGAUUUCAGAGUUCCUGAGCCCUGCAUUGAGCUCCAUGCUGAUAGCACAGAGCCUACUUGGUAUUCUCUUUCUCUCCCUCUCUCUCUGCCCCUCCCCUGCUCAUGCUCUCCCUCUCAAAAUAAAGGAGGAGGGAGAAAUACAAGUGAGGCCUACCAUACUAGAGGGGUAGAGUACUUGUGAAAGCCAUACACCUGAGACCCAGGUUCAUAGUGCAUGCAUGAGACUGAAGCCUAACCUGAACAUCAUAGAACACACUCACUAUAACACUAACAAGCAUUUCAUACAGGUAACAGUGGCAUAUGGAUGGAAGAGCUACAAGAGACAUUCUUUCUGGGGAGCAGUGCAAAGGGAAGACUGAAGGCAAACUGGGGACCAAUACUGAGAAUUUUCUGGCAACUUAGCCCACACCUAAACACAAGUUACCACUAGUGUCCUUAUGGUGCACUGAGACUAAACUACAGCAGUAAGAAACUUCAAACCCACCAGCUGCUGACUAGAUGAACAUAAAACCCCACAUUAAAGGCCUAGGAGAAGGAAGGGUGUGCUCAUCUCCCAGCAUUAAUGUUUGAAAUGUCCAUCUUUAAAUUAAAAAGUAUGAAACAUGCAAAAACGCAAGAAAACACACAGUCGGAAAAUACAAAGCAAUGAUCAGGAAAAAAUUCAGAUGAAGUUGGUACUAUUAGGAAAUUUAAAGUGUGAAUAAUAAUAAGACAAUAUUGGAAAAGGUACACAACAUGCAAAUUGGAGAAUUUCAGAAGAGAGAAAAAACUAUUAAGAAAGAAUGGGAUGCAGUACUAGAAAUAAAAAAAAAAAUAGUAACAGAUAACACAUCAGUAGACUUAACAAAAUUCAGGAAAGAAUCAAUGAAUUUGAGAAAAAAAGAGUGAAAGAAAAAACAGAACAACCAAGACCUAUGGGGCAAUAUCAAACAGUCUACUAUAUACUUAUUUGGAAUCCCAGAAGAAGAAAAAAUAAGACAGAAGAAAUGUGUACUGUAAGAAAGAGCCUGACAGCUUUGUUUAUUGUAAUGUAAGUUGCUUGACAUUAAGCUUUUGAUUGCUACAGCAUCCCUUUCAGACAUCCAUCUCAAAUAAACACAUUGCCAGAUACACAACUGGAUAAAGGGCCAGACCACCCAACCCAUGAAUUUCCCCUUUUUAUUUUUUUAAAUUUGUUUUUAACUUUAUUUUUGAGAAAGAGAAAGAGCAGGGAAGGGCCAGAGAGAGGGAGACAGAGGAUCAGAAGCAGGCUCCAUGACAACAGAGAGCCUGAUGCAGGGCUUGAACUCACAAACCAUGAGAUCAUGACCCCAGCUGAAGUUGGACUCAAACUGACUAGGCCACCCAGGUGCGCUUCCCCUUUUUAGAAAGCUCUGAGUAACCUAGAUAACGGACCAUUUGAGUGACCAUGCUUUUCCCUUCCCACACCCUAAUUCCCACUCUUGUUUUAAAUUCACCAAUAAACAGUGAACUUGUGAAACCCUAGGCAACCCACCCUCAACCCCAAUAUAAAGCAGAACCCUAAGUCCCUGCUCUCUCUCUUGCUCACUCUCCCUUUCUCUCUCCCACCCUCACCCCUGCAACCUCACCAUUUGGCCCCAGGCAUGCCAUAUAUCCUCCAGGAAUUGUAAUAAACCUUGCUUUUUUCAAAGUUACCUGAUGGUUGUUUCUGUGGUGUGUCUUGCAACCAAAAGAACCACAGAGGUUCUAUAGUCUAUUAAAUGUACAACAGCAUUAUGUGUAAAAAAAAAAAAAAAAAAAAAAUUACACACCCUUAUUUUAAAGAUAUUUUAUUGCUAAAAACCAGCUUUCAGUGAGUCAUAAUCACUGAUCACAGAUCACCAUAACAAACAAACAAUAAAAAGAUUUGAAAUAUUGUGAGAAUUAUCAAAAUGUGACACAGAGACACAACGUGAGCAAAUGUUACUGGGAAAACAGCAUCAAUUGACUUGCUUGAUGUAGGGUUACCACAAACCUUCAAUUUAUGGGGGGAGGGGUGCAGGGAAUGCAGUAUCUAUAUAGUGCAAAAAACUGAAGUGCAAUAAAAUGAAUUAUGCCCAUAUGUAUUUCAUUGGCUGAAAUGCACCAUAGGCCACUCCUGAGUCCACUGGGGCAGGAAAAUAUUAACUGUAACUGAUAAAUUGCUAGAGGCUAAGUAUGAACAAAUCUGAAGAGUUUUAAAAGCUUCAGAGGGGCACCUGGGUCGCUCAGUCGGUUAAGCGUCCAACUUCAGCUCAGGUCAUGAUCUCGCAACCUGUGACUUUGAGCCCUGCGUCAGGCUCUGUGCUGACAGCUCAAGAGCCUGGAGCCUGCUUCCGAUUCUGUGUCUCCCUCUCUCUCUGCCCUUCCCCUGCUCAUGCUCUCUCUCAGUCAAAAAUAAAUAAAACAUUAAAAAAAAAAGCUUCAGAGGGAGGGCACAGUCUUAGGGGAGCAUUUUUUUGCAAGUUUUCCUCCAUUAGUUCUAUCAGAUUCUCACAGUGAAGAUUGGAGAAAGUCCUCUCAUGCUUCACUCAGGGGAAAGAGAAAAGUAGUAGCCAUUUUGAAAUAAGCCAGAGCAUUCUGUUCAUCCUAAUAUAGUCUGCCCUCAAAGGAAACUAUUUUACCAAAGCCUAAUCUGUAGAGAUUUUAUCAGAAACUUAACUGACUUGUGGAGAGAGAAAUACCCAACUCCAGCCUCCUCUAGCCAUCCUGAUGCACCUCAAGAUGGAGAAGGGGAUUAAUAAGCACCUAUGAAGUACACUUGUAGUACACACUCCAGGUGUACAGGUUCACUGAAAAUUUAACUGAGACCUAAUAAUUAUAGGACUUUAGAAUACUUCCUCUCUCCCACUUUAUCACAACAUGACCAAAGGCCUAUGUACCAGAGUUCUUUACAUCCAGUACAUCUUAUCUGGCUUUUAACAAAAAUUUGCAAGGCAUAUUGAAAACAAAAACAAAAACAAAACACUGUUUGAAGGGAAAAAGCAAGCACAAGAAGCAGCUAGAUAUGGGAGGAGUAUUGAAAUUAUCAAGCCAGCAAUUUAACUAUGACUAAUAUGCUAAAGACUGUAAAGGAAAAAAAAUGCAACAUGUAAGAUCAUCUGAGUAAUGUAAUCAAAGAGAUAGAAAUUGCAAGAAAAACUUCAAAAGAAAUGCUAGAAAUAAAACACACAGAUAUAAAAAAUGUGUUUGAUAUACUCAUUAGUGGACUAGACAAGGCUCAGGACAUAAUAUCUGAGCUUGCAGAUAUAUUAACAGAAACCUCCAGAACUAAAAACCAAAGAGAAAAAAAAAUGGAACAGAAUAUCCAAGAAAUGUGGGACUAUUACAAAAUGGAUAACAUACUAAUAAUGGGAAUACCAGAAGGAGGAGGAAGAGAAAAAGAAGCAAAAGAAAUAUUUGAAGUAAUCAUGACUGAGAAUUUCCUCAAAUUAAUGUCAGACACCAAACCACAGAUUCGGGAAUCUCAGAGAACACAAAGCAAGAUAAAUGCCAAAAAACAAAAGCAAAACAACAACAACAACAAACAUAUACACAGGCAUAUAAUAUAACUCAGAAAAUAAAUGCUAAAGAAAAAAAUCUUUAAGAAGUUUUUCUGAAAAUCUGAAAAAAGCCAGAGGAGAAAACACUUUACCUAUAGAGGAGCAAAGACAGGAAUUACAUCUGAUUUCUCAGAAACCAUGAAAGUAAGAAAAGAGUAGAAUGAAAUAUUUAAAAUGUUGAGAGAAAAAACUCACAAACCUGGAAUUCUGUAUCCUGCAAAAUUAUCUUUCAAAAGUAAAGAAGAAAUAAAUACUUUUUUGAACAAAAAUUGAUGAAAUUUUUACCAGUAAGCCUGCCUAGCAAGAAAUGCUAAACUUCUUAAGAGAGAAGAAAAAUUAUAUAAGCCAUAAUUCAUAUCUACAUAAAGAAAGAGCAUUAGAAAAGGAAUGUGAUAGUAAAAUAAAAACUUUUAUUUUUAUUACUCUUAAUUGAUCUAAUAUAACAAUUUGCUCAAAAUAAUAGCAAAAAUAUAUUAAAUAAAUUAUAGUUUAUAUAUAAGUAAAAUGAAUGAUAGUAAUAUUAUAAGCACCAGGAAUGAGGAAUCUAAAACAUUGUUAUUACAAGGCACUUUAUCCAUGAAGUGAUAUAUUAAAAGUGGACUUGGAAUAGCUGUAAAUGUACAUUGCAAACUCUAGGGCAACCACUAACAAAAGUAAAAACAAACAAACAAAAAAACCCCCCUGUAAUUGAUAUGUCAAAAAUGAGAGAAAAUAGAAUCAUGCAAAAUGUUCAAUUAAAAACACAAGAGGCAGGAGCGCCUGGGUGGCUCAGCCAGUUAAACAUCCUACUUUUGAUUUUGGCUCAGGUCAUGAUCUCAUGAUUCACGGGAUCAAGCCCUGCAUCAGGCUCUGCGCUAACAGAAUGGAGACUGCUUAGGAUUCUCUCUCUCCUUCUGCCCCUCUCCCUUCUCAUGCUUUCCCUCUCUAAAUAAAUAAACAAACAAACAAACACACAAAAGACAAAAAUAGGAACAAAGAACAAAGGCAACAAACAGGAAACAAUAACAAAUAUGGUAGAUAUUAAUCCAAUUGUAUCAAUAAUUACUUUACAUGUCAAUGGCCUAAAUAUACCAAUAAAAAGACAAAUGCCAGAGUGCAUCAUAAAUAAGAUUCAACUAUAGGUUGUCUACAAGAAACCCAAUUUAAAUGUAAAGGUACAUAUAAAUUAAAAGUAAAGGGUUGGAUGGGGCCCCUGGGUGGCUCAGUCGGUUGAGCAUUGUACUUCAGCUCACGUCACGAUCUAUCUCACAGUUCAUGAGUUCCAGCCCCACAUUGGGUUCUCUGCUGUCAGUGCAGACCCCACUUUGGAUCCUCUGUCUCCUCUCUCUGCCCUUCCCCUGUUCUCUCUGUCUCUCAAAAAUAAAUAAACAUUAAAAAAAAAAAAAAGAAAAAGGGAUGGAGAAAGAUAUACCAUGUUAAUACUAACCAAGAGAACACUGCCAGGUGGCUGGCUGAGUUGGUGGAGCAUGCAACUCUUGAUCUCAGGGUUGUCAGUUCAAGCCCCCAGUUAAAGAUUACUGUAAAAAUAAAAUAUUAAAAAGAGAGAAAGAGAACACUGUAAGACCUGUAUUAAUUUAGACAGAGCAGACUUUAAAGCAAGGAAAAUUAUCAGGGAUAUAAAGGGACUUUAUGUAAUGAUAAAGGGGUCAAUUCUCUAAGAAGUCAUAACAUUCUUUAAUGUGUAUAUACGUAGCAACAGGGAAUUAAAAUACAUGAGGCAAAAACUGAAAGAACUAGGAGAAAUAGAUGAAUCUACUAUUACAGUUGGAGACUUCAAUAGCCCUUUCUCAGAAAUGGACAGAAAAUCAGUAAAGACAUAAUUGAACUCAACAGCACCAUGAAUUAACUGAUAUAAUUAACACCUACAGACUCAUUUAACAACAGCAGAAUACACAUUCUUCUCUCAAGCUCACGUGAAACAUUCAGUAAGAUAGACCACAUUCUACAUCUAAAACACACAUCAACAAAUUUUAAAGAAUAAAAAUCACACAGUGUAAUACCACAAUGGAAUUAAACUAGAAAUCAGUAUAGAAAGAUAGCUGGGAAAUUCCAAAAUACUUGGAGAUUAAGCAAUACACUUCUAAAUAACAGAUGAGUCAAAGACAAACUCCUGGGACACCUGGGUGGCUCAGUUGGUUAAGUGUCUGACUCUUGAUUUCAGCUCAGGUCAUGACCUCAUGAUUUGUGAGAUCAAGCCCCACAUCAGGCUCUGAACUGACAGCACAGAGCCUGCUUGGGAUUCUCUCUCUUCCUCUCUCUCUCUGCCCCACUUGUGUUCUAUAAAUAAAUAAACAAACAUUUAAUGAAGAAGAAGACGGCAUAAAAACACUCAGAUCAAUGGAACAGAAUAGAGGACCCAGAAAUGGACCCACAAAUGUAUGGCCAACUAAUCUUUGACAAAGCAGGAAAGAAUAUCCACUGGAACAAAGAUGGUCUCUUCAGCUAGUGGUGCUGGGAAAACUGGACAGCGACAUGCAGAAAAAUGAACCUGGAACACUUUCUUACACCAUACACAAAAAUAAACUCAAAAUGGAUGAAAGAUCUAAAUGUAAGACAGGAAGCCACCAAAAUUCCCAAGGAGAAAGCAGGCAAAAACCUCUUUGACCUUGGCCGCAGCAACUUCUUACUCAACAUGUCUCCAGAGGCAAGGGAAACAAAAGCAAAAAUGAACUAUUGGGACCUCAUCAAAAUAAAAAGCUUCUGCACAGCAAAGGAAACAAUCAGCAAAACUAAAAGGCAACCAAUGGAAUGGGAGAAGAUAUUUGCAAAAAACGUAUCAAAGGGUUAGUAUCCAAAAUCUAUAAAGAACUCAACACCCAAACUCAACACCCAAAAAACAAUCCUGUGAAGAAAUGGGGGAAAUACAUGAAUAGACACUUCUCCAAAGAAGACAUCCAGAUGGCCAACCGACACAUGAAAAAAUGCUCAACAUCACUCAUCAUCAGGGAAAUACAAAUCAAAACCACAAUGAGAUACCACCUUACACCUGUCAGAAUGGCUAACAUUAACAACUCAGGCAACAACAGAUGUUGGUGAGGAUGUGGAGAAAGAGGAUCUCUUUUGCAUUGUUGGUGGCAAUGCAAGCUGGUGCAGCCACUCUGGAAAACAGUAUGGAGGUCCCUCAGAAAACUAAAAAUAAAACUACCCUAUGACCCAGCAAUUGCACUACUAGGCGUUUAUCCACAGGAUACAGGUGUGUUGUUUCAAAGGGACACAUUGCACCCCCAUGUUUAUAGCAGCACUAUCAACAAUAGCCAAAGUACGGAAAGAACAUAAAUGUCCAUCCAUGGAUGAAUGGAUAAAGAAGAGGUGGUGUGUGUGUGUGUGUGUGUGUGUGUGUGUGUGUAUACAUAUACAUACAUAUAUAUACAUACACACACACACACAAUGGAGUAUUACUCAGCAAUCAAAAAGAAUGAAAUCUUGCCAUUUGCAACUACAUGGAUGGAACUAGAGGGUAUUAUGCAAAGCGAAUUGAGUCAGUUGGAGAAAGACAUAUAUCAUAUAACUUCACUCAUAUGAGGACUUUAAGACACAGAACAGAAGAACACAAGGGCAGGGAAGAAAAAAUAAUAUAAAAACAGGGAGGGGGACAAAACAUAAGAGACUCUUAAAUAUGGAGAACAAACAGAGGGUUAUUGGAGGGGUUGUGGGAGGGGGGAUGGGCUAAAUGGGUAAGGGGCAUUAAGGAAUCUACUCCUGAAAUCAUUGUUGCACUAUAUGCUAACUAACUUGGAUGUAAAUUUAAAAAAAGAAGAAGAUCUCUCAAUAGAAAUUUAAAAAAUUUUUGAACUAAAUGAAAAUACAACUUAGCAAAAUUAGGGGAUGCAGUGAAAGUGUUUAGAGGGAAUUUUGUAGCCUUUUAUGAAUAUAUUAGAAAAGAGGAAAGCUCUAAAAUCAGUAAUCUAAGAUUCUACCUUAGAAAACUAGAAAAGGAAGAAUAAAUCUAAAGUAAGCAGAAGAAAAGAAUUAGGAAAGAAAUCAAUGAAAUUGAAAACAGGAAGCCAACAGAGAAAAAUAAUGAAGACAAAAGCUGAUUCAUUUAAAAGAUAAAAUUGAUUAACUUCUAGCCAGUCUAAAGAAAAAGAAGACACAAGUUACUAAUAUCAGAAUUGAAAGGACAUCACUACAGAUACUGUGGACAUUAAAAAGAUAUUAAAGGACUAGUAUGAACAACUCACCCACAAAUGUUAUAACCUAGAUGAAAUGAACCAAUUCCUCAAAACACAGAAGGUACCAAAAUUCACACAAAAAAAAUAAACAACCAGGAUACGCCUAAUAUCUAUUAAAGAAAUUAACUUAAUAAUUACUAAACUUCAAAAACAUAAAGCACCAGGCCCAGAUGAGUUUACUGAUGAAUUCCUCCAAACACUUAAAAGAUUAUACCAAUUCUUUACAAUCUCUUCCAGAAGGCAGAAGCAGAGGGAAUACAUGCUAUUCAUUCUAUGAGGACAGCAUUACCCUAAUACCAAAAUCAGACAAGGACAUUGCAAGAAAAGAAAACUGCUGACCAAUAUUUCUCAUUAACAUAAAUGCCAAAAUUAUCAAAAUAUUAGCAAAUUAAAUCAAAUGUAUAAAAAUAAUUAUAUAUACAACCAACUGGUUUAUCCCAAACAUGCAAGACUGGUUCCACAUUUGAAAACCAGUGUAACAUAACAUAAUCCCUCAUACCAACAAGCUAAAGAAAAAGAUCACAUGUUCGUAUCAGUAAAUGCAGAAAGAGCAUUUAACAAAAUCCAAUACCUAUUCAUGAUAACUCUCAGCAAACUAGGAAUACAGAGGAGUUUCCACAACUUGAUAAACAAGAUCUACAAAAAACCUACAGCUAACAUCAUACCUGAUGGGAAGAAGCUUUCCCACUAAGAUCAGGAGCAAAGCAAGGAUGUCCCCUCUCACCACUCCUUUAUGACAUAAUAGUGGAAGUCCUAAUAAAUACAGUAAUAUAAGAAAAGGAAAUAAAACUUACUGAUUGGAAAGAAAGAAAUAAAACUAUCUUUGUUUGCAGAUGACAUGAUUGUGUAGAAAAUCUGAAAGAAUGAAUAACAAAACUGGAACUAAUAAGCAAUUAUAGCAGGGUUGCAGGAUACAAGGAUAUGUACAAAUGUCAAUUAUUUUCCUAUACAACAGCAAUAAGCAAGUGUCAUUUGAAAUUAAAAACAUAAUGCUAUUUACAUUAGCACGCCUCCAAAAUGAAAAAAUUAAAUAUAAGUCUAACAAAAAAUGUACAAGAUCUAUAUGAAGGAAACUACAAAACUGAUGAAGAAAGAAUAACUAGACAAAUGAAAAGGUAUUCCAUGUUUAUGAAUAGGAAGAAUCAAUAUGGACAGCAUGUCAGUUAUUCCUAAUUUGAUGUAUAGAUUCAAUGGAUUAAAUGUAAUCCCAAUUAAAAUACCAGAAAUAUUUUAUGGAUACAAACUGAUUCUAAAGGUAAUGUAGAGAGGCAAAGGACCCAGACUAGCCAACAUAAUAUUGAAAGAGAAAAACAAAGUCAUAAGAUUGACACUACCUAACUUCAAGACUUACUAUAAAGCUACAGUAAUCAAGAUAAUGUGGUAGAAAGAAUGGUGAAAGAAAAGACUAAUAGAUAACGGAACAGAACAGAGAGCCCAGAAAUAAACCUACUAGUCAACUGAUUUUUUCAUUUUAUUUUUUAUUUUUUAAAAUUUACAUCCAAAUUAGUUAGCAUAUAGUGCAACAAUGAUUUCAGUAAUGCCCCUUACCCAUUUAGCCCAUCCCCCCUCCCACAACCCCUCCAGCACCCCUCAGUUUGUUCUCCAUAUUUAUGAGUCUCUUCUGUUUUGUCCCCCUCCCUGUUUUUGUAUUAUUUUUGUUUCCCUUCCCUUAUGGUCAUCUGUUUUGUAUCUUAAAGUCCUCAGAUGAAUGAAGUCAUAUGAUUUUUGUCUUUCUCUGAUUAAUUUCACUUAGCAUAAUACCCUCCAGUUCCAUCCACGUAGUUGCAAAUGGCAAGAUUUCAUUCUUUUUGAUUGCCGAGUAAUACUCCAUUGUAUAUAUAUACCACAUCUUCUUUAUCCAUUCAUCCAUCGAUGGACAUUUGGGCUCUUUCCAUACUUUGGCUAUUGUUGAUAGUGCUGCUAUAAACAUGGGGGUGCAAUGUGUCCCUUUGAAACAACACACCUGUAUCCUGUGGAUAAACGCCUAGUAGUGCAAUUGCUGGGUCAUAGGGUAGUUUUAUUUUUAGUUUUCUGAGGGACCUCCAUACUGUUUUCCAGAGUGGCUGCACCAGCUUGCAUUGCCACCAACAAUGCAAAAGAGAUCCUCUUUCUCCACAUCCUCACCAACAUCUGUUGUUGCCUGAGUUGUUAAUGUUAGCCAUUCUGACAGGUGUAAGGUGGUAUCUCAUUGUGGUUUUGAUUUGUAUUUCCCUGAUGAUGAGUGAUGUUGAGCAUUUUUUCAUGUGUCGGUUGGCCAUCUGGAUGUCUUCUUUGGAGAAGUGUCUAUUUAUGUCUUUCCCCCAUUUCUUCACUGGAUUAUUUGUUUUUUGGGUGUUGAGUUUGAUAACUGAUCUUUGAAAAAGGAACAAAGAUAACACAAUGGAGAAAUGACAGAUUUUUCAAUAAAUGGUAUUGAAACAACUGUAUAUCCACAUGCAAAAAAGAAGCAUCAGGACUUUACAUCCUUUACAAAUAUUAACUUGAAAUGGACCAGAAACCUAAAUGUAAAGUACAAAGAUAACAUAGGAGAAAAUCUAAAUGAUCUUGGGUUUGGCAAUGACUUUUUAGAUAGAACACCAAAGACAUGAUUCAUAAAAGAAAUAAUUGAUAAACUGGACUUCGUUAAAACUAAAAUUUUCUGGGGGUGCCUGGGUGGUUCAGUUGGUUAGGCAUCCGACUUUGGCUCAGGUCAUGAUCUCAAGACUCUUGAGUUCAAGCCCUGCAUCGGGCUCUAUGCUGACAGUUCAAAGCAUGGAGCCUGCUUUGGAUUCUGUGUCUCCCUCUUUUUCUGCCCCUCCCCUGGUCAGGCUCUAUCUCUCUCUCUGUCUCUGUGUCUCUGUCUCUCUCUCUCUCAAAAAUAAAUAUUAAAAAAAAACAAAUUUUCUGGGGUGCCUGGGUGGGUCAGUCUAUUAGGCGUCCGACUUCAGCUCAGGUCAUGAUCUCAUAGUUUGUGGGUUCAAACCCCGCAUUGGGCUCUGUGCUGACAGCUCAGAGCCUGGAGCAUGCUUCAGAUUCUGUCUCCCUCUCUCUCUGUUCCUCCCCCACUCAUGCUCUAGCUCUCUGUCUCUCAAAAAUAAACAUUUUAAAAUUUUUUCUGUUCUGCAAAAGUCACUGUCAGAAGGAUAAGGAGACAAGCCACAGACUAAGAAAAUAUUUACAAGAGACAUAUCUGAUAAAGGACUGUUACCUAAAAUAUACAAAGAACUCUCAAAAGUCAAUGAUAAGAAAACAAACAACCUGAUGAAACAAACAAUGGACAAAAUAUCUGAAUAGACACCCACCAAAGAAAAUCUACAGACGGCAAGUAAGCAUAAGAAAAAUGUUCAACAUCAUAUAUUAUUAGGGAGUUGCAAACUGAAACAAUAAACACCAAUACACAACUAUUAGAAUGGCCAGAUUCAAAACACUGACAACACCAAAUGCUGGUGAGGAUGUGUAAAAACAGGAACUCUCAUUCAUUGCUGAUGAGAAUGCAAAAUGGUUCAGCCAUUUUGGAAGACAAUUUGUUAAUUUCUUACUGUACACACUAUACCAUGUGAUCCAGCAAUCACGCUCCUUAGUAGACACCCAAAUGAGUUGAAAACUUAUGUCUGCACAGAAGCUUGCACAUGGAUGUUCAUAACAGCCUUACUUAUAAUUUUCAGUACUCAGAAAUAACCAAGAUGACCUUCAGUAGGUGAAUGAAUAAAUAAACUGUGGUACAUCCAGACAAUAGGAUAUUAUUCGGUGCUAAAAAGAAAUGAGCCAUUGAGCCAUGGAAAGACAUGGAGGAACCUUAAAUGAACCUUAGUAAGUCAAAGAAGCCAAUCUGAAAAGGCUUCAUACAAUAUAAUUUCAAAUAUAAUGACAUUCUGAGAAAGACAAAAUAAUGGAGACAGAAAAAAAUGAGUGGUUAUCAGGAGAUGAAGAGGAGGGAAGGAUGAACAGGAAGAGCACAGAGAGUUCUAAGACAGUAAAACAAUUCUUUAUGAUAUUUUAAUGGUGGCAACAUUUGUCAAAGCCUAUAGAAUGUGUAAUACCAAGAGUGAAUUCUAAUGUAAACUGUGUAUUUGGGUGGAUAACGAUACAUCAAAGUAGGCUCUUUAAAUGUAACAAAUAUACCAUUCUCUGGUGUGAGAUGUUCAUAGGGGGAAGGCUGUACUUGUGUAGAGGCAGGAAGUAUAUAGGAAUUGUCUGUAUUUUAUGAAUUUUGCCAUAAACUAAAACUGUUCUAAAAAAUAAAGCCUAUUAAGAGGGAAAAAAAAAGGACACAGAGCCAGCCUGAAAGAGCUCCCAAUAGCCAAAGAUGGCACAUAUUUAGCAAAAUAAUAAAUCUAGUAAAAUAGUCCAAAGAGUGACAUAAAUCUCCACGUGUCCAUGCAGAUAAAAACAAAUGAUUGAAAAUAAAUAUACUGGAGAGAAGGGACAAAUCUUUCUUACAGAAUUCCAACUAAUAACUGUAGAUGUCAAUGUAAUUCGGCCAAAUACCACCAGCAACACACAUGCAGUUGAACAAUUUAGAUUUUAGUAGUCAUUGCAGUAAGACAGAGCACAUAUUACAUUGGAUGAUAGGAAUGAUAAAGUGCUUCAGUAACAGAUGUUAGGAAGGAAUUAUAGGAUUUGAGUGUUAGUUACUUCAUUUUGCAGUGGUUCCAACGCAGCUGAGUUUAUUCAGGAUUGGGUGUUGUUAAAGCAAAGCAAAGCAAAACAAAACAAAAACAAAAACAAAAAAAAAAACAAAAAAAACAAGCAACAGUCACUUGUAUUAGGUGAGAGGGGGGUGUUUGAUAUUUUGAGAGUAGCAGAGCAACCUUGUUUUUGUCUUUACUCAUGCAAAACAAUGACCUUGUUUGUGUUACAUCAUAAGGGUCAAAAAAUGACUUUGUCUGCUUGGUGUUUGGUGUCAUUGUUCUGCAGCCAUCUCAGCACACACAGGCCAGUUUUCCUUCGGUGUAGGGUAGGGUCUCAGGCAUGGGAUAAGAGUGAAGAGAUAGGGUUUCCUAGGAAAGGAACGGAAAGGCCUUAUAUUUUUAUUUUAAAUUUUUUUUUCAAUGUUUAUUUAUUUUUGGGACAGAGAGAGACAGAGCAUGAACGGGGGAGGGGCAGAGAGAGAGGGAGACACAGAAUCGGAAACAGGCUCCAGGCUCCGAGCCAUCAGCCCGGAGCCUGACGCGGGGCUCGAACUCACGGACCGCGAGAUCGUGACCUGGCUGAAGUCGGAUGCUUAACCGACUGCGCCACCCAGGCGCCCCAGGCCUUAUAUUUUUAAAACAUUUGUAUUCUUUAAGAACUUGGAAAAUUCAGAAAUUGAAAUUUUAAAACUUUAGAAAUUGUCUUUAAUUGCUUAUAUUUGAAUCCCUAUAAAAGUUAUUUAUUGUAAUAUGAAUUCCAUGGAUAUGGCCUUAUUAUGUUCCAGCACUUACCUUGUUCUAACAAAAUUAUUGAAUGUUCUCUUUCCACUGCUUUAAAUCCCAGCUCUAACACAUACUACCUUCUCACUUUCUUUUCUACCUAGACUUAAACUUUUAUUGCACCAGGAUCAGUUUUUAAUUUUUUUUUUUUUCAACGUUUAUUUAUUUUUGGGACAGAGAGAGACAGAGCAUGAACGGGGGAGGGGCAGAGAGAGAGGGAGACACAGAAUCGGAAACAGGCUCCAGGCUCCGAGCCAUCAGCCCAGAGCCUGAUGCGGGGCUCGAACUCACGGACCGCGAGAUCGUGACCUGGCUGAAGUCGGACGCUUAACCGACUGCGCCACCCAGGCGCCCCAAGGAUCAGUUUUUAAAUACUUUAGCAAUAUCAUACAUGUUAAUACAAACACAUUGCUAGGCAUUUUCAAUUCUCUUCUGAUCAUUACUAAAAGUUUUUAUUGGAAUAAAAGUUGGGAUCAUUUCUUUAGGUUUAACAAACAAAAUAAAUGUCAAAGAGAAAGAACACAGAGAAAACUUUUUUAGGAUUCUGAUGGGAACAUUAAUUAUAUUCUUUUCAUCUAGAAAGCUGGUAUUUAUUAAAGUUUUUUAAGUGUCAACAGAAUCGUUUUAUACCUGGAUUCACACCAGUUGCAAUAACUUACUGGCAACAUCAAUCCUUCUUUUUUCAUGCUAAUCAAAACUAUUUGGUAUGCGUGGUGGCUCAGUCAGUUAAGGGUCUGACUUUGGCUCAGGCCAUGAUCUCUCCGUCUGUGGGUUCAAGCCCGCUUCAGCCUCUGUGCUGACAGCCCGGAGCCUGCUUUGGCUUCUGUGUCUCCCUCUCUCUCUGUCCCUGCCCCACUUGUGCUCUCUUAAAAAUAAAUAAACGUUUAAAAAAUUUUUUUUAAUUUUUUUUUAACGUUUAUUUAUUUUUGAGACAGAGAGAGGCAGAACAUGAACAGGGGAGGGUCAGAGACAGAGGGAGACACAGAAUCCAAAACAGGCUCCAGGCUCCCAGCUGUCAGCACAGAGCCCGACGCGGGGCUCGAACUCAUGGACCGUGAGAUCAUGACCUGAGCCGAAGNNNNNNNNNNNNNNNNNNNNNNNNNNNNNNNNNNNNNNNNNNNNNNNNNNNNNNNNNNNNNNNNNNNNNNNNNNNNNNNNNNNNNNNNNNNNNNNNNNNNNNNNNNNNNNNNNNNNNNNNNNNNNNNNNNNNNNNNNNNNNNNNNNNNNNNNNNNNNNNNNNNNNNNNNNNNNNNNNNNNNNNNNNNNNNNNNNNNNNNNNNNNNNNNNNNNNNNNNNNNNNNNNNNNNNNNNNNNNNNNNNNNNNNNNNNNNNNNNNNNNNNNNNNNNNNNNNNNNNNNNNNNNNNNNNNNNNNNNNNNNNNNNNNNNNNNNNNNNNNNNNNNNNNNNNNNNNNNNNNNNNNNNNNNNNNNNNNNNNNNNNNNNNNNNNNNNNNNNNNNNNNNNNNNNNNNNNNNNNNNNNNNNNNNNNNNNNNNNNNNNNNNNNNNNNNNNNNNNNNNNNNNNNNNNNNNNNNNNNNNNNNNNNNNNNNNNNNNNNNNNNNNNNNNNNNNNNNNNNNNNNNNNNNNNNNNNNNNNNNNNNNNNNNNNNNNNNNNNNNNNNNNNNNNNNNNNNNNNNNNNNNNNNNNNNNNNNNNNNNNNNNNNNNNNNNNNNNNNNNNNNNNNNNNNNNNNNNNNNNNNNNNNNNNNNNNNNNNNNNNNNNNNNNNNNNNNNNNNNNNNNNNNNNNNNNNNNNNNNNNNNNNNNNNNNNNNNNNNNNNNNNNNNNNNNNNNNNNNNNNNNNNNNNNNNNNNNNNNNNNNNNNNNNNNNNNNNNNNNNNNNNNNNNNNNNNNNNNNNNNNNNNNNNNNNNNNNNNNNNNNNNNNNNNNNNNNNNNNNNNNNNNNNNNNNNNNNNNNNNNNNNNNNNNNNNNNNNNNNNNNNNNNNNNNNNNNNNNNNNNNNNNNNNNNNNNNNNNNNNNNNNNNNNNNNNNNNNNNNNNNNNNNNNNNNNNNNNNNNNNNNNNNNNNNNNNNNNNNNNNNNNNNNNNNNNNNNNNNNNNNNNNNNNNNNNNNNNNNNNNNNNNNNNNNNNNNNNNNNNNNNNNNNNNNNNNNNNNNNNNNNNNNNNNNNNNNNNNNNNNNNNNNNNNNNNNNNNNNNNNNNNNNNNNNNNNNNNNNNNNNNNNNNNNNNNNNNNNNNNNNNNNNNNNNNNNNNNNNNNNNNNNNNNNNNNNNNNNNNNNNAAAAAAAAAAAAAGAGGUUAGAGUGGGAGAGAGCCAAAGCAUAAGAGACUGUUAAAAACUGAGAACAAACUGAGGGUUGAUGGGGGGUGGGAGGGAGGGGAGGGUGGGUGAUGGGUAUUGAGGAGGGCACCUUUUGGGAUGAGCACUGGGUGUUGUAUGGAAACCAAUUUGUCAAUAAAUUUCAUAUAUAUAUAAAAAAAAAUAAAAACUUAAAAAAAAAAAAAAAACUAUCUUUUGGGGCACCUGGGUGGUUCAGUUGCCCCAAGCAUCAGACUUCGUCUCCGGGGUUCGAGCUCCACAUUAGGUUCUUCAUUGACAGUGCUGAGCCUGCUUGGGAUUCUCUCUCCUUCUCUCUCUGUCCCCCGCUCCCCCCCCCAAAACACACACACACUCUCUCUCUCUCUCAAAAUAAACUUAAAAAAAACCUAUCUUUUUAUCAUUGCCAUAUAUAAUAAUGUUACAAAAUAAUCAAGAAAACUAUGUGUUUAUAUGUAAGUAUAUGUAUGUUUUGUAUAUACAUAUAACACACACACACACACACACACACACACACACACACACGAAGGCAGUCAUAAAAUGUGUUCAUAGGUUCCUAAUUUGGUUCCUAAUUUCAGAAGUGUGCAAAUGCAAGUUUAUCCCUAGGAGAUGCAUAAUUUGCAUGAUAAUUGUUUUCUAACUGAGUUGUGUGUACUUUCAGAUAUUACUUAUGAAAGAUUGAACAGCUUACUUUUUCUUUUUUUCUCAGAAAUAAACUCUGAGGAUCACAGAUAUUAUUCUUUUAUGUUACAUUUUACAGUCUUAGUCACAAAAACUGUUAAUUGCAUAUUGGUACCCACAAAACGGGGGCCAAGGUCACAAAUCUCAACCUAAGUCAGCCUAAUCUAACGGUACUCCUCUCAUUGUUAAAGAAACCUAAUAUAUGCCAGUCAUAAUCUUGCAACUCAGCUUUAGCUAGCUUACUUGGCCUUAUUAGGAAAUCCCUAUUAAUCAAAUUCACUCUUGACCAACAUCCCUCCGAAGAGUGCUUUAUGGUUUGUUUUCCCUUUAAUAAAAGACAUCAAAUUGUUACUGUUUUAGUUUUGUUAUUUGACACAUGUACCUUUCUUCCUUUUGGCAGCUCUGAGUUAAAAGGCACACUUUUGGAAAAAUAGUUUAAAAUUUCCCCUUUAUGAACUUUAUAUUACAAAACUUACUAGCACAUAGAAAAGGAGAAAACAGUAAAAUGAUCAUACCCACAUAUUAGACGUAGAAAUCCUUAACAUGUUACUAUAUUUGCCUUUUCUGGUUGUUAUUUAAUUACAAAUAUGUAAUAUAAUCCUAAGUAUUCUAAUAUGCAUCUCUAAAAAAACUAAAUUUUCCUACAUAAUCCCAAUAGUUAUUAUCACAAUUAACAAAACUAACGUAACUUCCCUUAAUAUUUUUAAGAUCCGAUCCAUACACAAAUUUCCCCAGUUGUUCCCAAACGUCUUUUUGUUUUCUCCAACCAGGAUCUGAUCCAGGACCACACUGUAUUUGAUGGUAUGUCAAAGUUUAACCCAUAACCUCUGGGACUUUGGUAGAAUUUGGGCGCCAGAGAGCAAUACAGACUGUUGAUAACAUCUCAUUAAUAACGCCCCCUUUACCGUCUGCCUCCCUG
rnacentral:lncRNA from 1 species